rnacentral:rRNA from 1 species
UGCCAGCAGCCGCGGUAAUACGGAGGGUGCGAGCGUUAAUCGGAAUUACUGGGCGUAAAGCGCAUGCAGGCGGUUGAUUAAGCGAGAUGUGAAAGCCCCGGGCUUAACCUGGGAACUGCAUUUCGAACUGGUCAACUGGAGUCUUGUAGAGGGGGGUAGAAUUUCAGGUGUAGCGGUGAAAUGCGUAGAGAUCUGAAGGAACACCAGUGGCGAAGGCGGCCUCCUGGACUGACACCGACACUGAGGUGCGAAAGCGUGGGGAGCAAACAGGAUUAGAUA